rnacentral:rRNA from 1 species
GACAGAGGGUGCGAACGUUGUUCGGAAUUACUGGGCGUAAAGCGCAUGUAGGCGGCAGCGCAAGUCGGGCGUGAAAUCCCACGGCUCAACCGUGGAAGUGCACUCGAAACUGCGCAGCUAGAGUCCUGGAGAGGAAGGUGGAAUGCUUGGUGUAGAGGUGAAAUUCGUAGAUAUCGAGAGGAACACCGGUGGCGAAGGCGGCGAUCUGGACGAUGACUGACGCUGAGACGCGAAAGCGUGGGGAGCAAACAGG